rnacentral:rRNA from 1 species
GUGAACCUGCGGAAGGAUCAUUAUUGAAAUAAACCUGCUGGGUUGUUGCUGGCUCUCYAGGGAGCAUGUGCACGCCUUGUCAUCUUUAUAUCUCCACCUGUGCACUUUUUGUAGACAUCUUUCNCAGGUGUCUAUGUUGACCCUUCAUUUGCCCCCCAAUGUAUGUCAAUAGAAUGUUGUGUCCAUGAUAAUAAAAUCUAUACAACUUUCAGCAACGGAUCUCUUGGCUCUCGCAUCGAUGAAGAACGCAGCGAAAUGCGAUAAGUAAUGUGAAUUGCAGAAUUCAGUGAAUCAUCGAAUCUUUGAACGCACCUUGCGCUCCUUGGUAUUCCGAGGAGCAUGCCUGUUUGAGUGUCAUUAAUAUUAUAUAUCGAACCCUCUCUUUUGUUGAGUGGUUUGGAUGUGGGGUUUGCUGGCCUCUUGAAGAGGUCAGCUUCCCUGAAAUGCAUUAGCAGAACAACCUGUUCGUUCAUUGGUGUGAUAACUAUCUACGCUAUUGAACGGUGAAGGCAAGUUCAGCUUCCUAACCGUCUUUGGACAAUUUAUCAUCUAUAUGUGACCUCAAAUCAGGUAGGACUA